CAAACUUGAUCAGUCAUCCUCUCC
rnacentral:siRNA from 1 species